AGUGAACGCUGGCGGCGUGCCUAAUACAUGCAAGUCGAACGCGAAAGUCCUUCGGGAUGAGUAAAGUGGCGCACGGGUGAGUAAUGCAUAAGAACAUGCCCUUAGAUGGGGAAUAACGUUUGGAAACGAACGCUAAUACCGCAUAAUCUCGAAAGAGUAAAGGUGGCGCCGCAAGGGCUACCGUCUAAGGAUUGGCUUAUGUCCCAUUAGCUAGUUGGCGGGGUAAUGGCCCACCAAGGCAACGAUGGGUAUGUGGUCUGAGAGGAUGAUCACACACACUGGAACUGAGACACGGUCCAGACUCCUACGGGAGGCAGCAGUAGGGAAUAUUGCACAAUGGGGGAAACCCUGAUGCAGCAACGCCGCGUGAGUGAAGAAGGCCCUUGGGUUGUAAAGCUCUUUAGCGAGGGAAGAGGGUUGUUAUGGUGAAUAAUCAUGAUAGCUGACGGUACCUCGAGAAUAAGCACCGGCUAAUUUCGUGCCAGCCGCCGCCGUAAGAC
rnacentral:rRNA from 1 species